rnacentral:rRNA from 1 species
UGAGGAAUAUUGGUCAAUGGGCGAGAGCCUGAACCAGCCAAGUAGCGUGCAGGAUGACGGCCCUAUGGGUUGUAAACUGCUUUUAUAUGGGAAUAAAGUGAGGGACGUGUCCCUUAUUGCAUGUACCAUACGAAUAAGGACCGGCUAAUUCCGUGCCAGCAGCCGCGGUAAUACGGAAGGUCCAGGCGUUAUCCGGAUUUAUUGGGUUUAAAGGGAGCGUAGGCUGUCUAUUAAGCGUGUUGUGAAAUUUACCGGCUCAACCGGUGGCUUGCAGCGCGAACUGGUCGACUUGAGUAUGCAGGAAGUAGGCGGAAUUCAUGGUGUAGCGGUGAAAUGCUUAGAUAUCAUGACGAACUCCGAUUGCGCAGGCAGCUUACUGUAGCAUAUCUGACGCUGAUGCUCGAAAGUGCGGGUAUCAAACAGG